UGAUAUUCCUGUACUACCGAUAACCGUUUGAGAGAAGGGAUGACACAGUAGGAUAAGCUAAGCACACUGUUGGUUAUGUGUGCCCAAGCAUUGAGGCAGUCAAAGUAGGCAAAUCCGCUUUGAUAAUGCUGGGAUGUGAUGGGGAGCGAAAUUUAGUAGCGAAGUAGCUGAUUUCACACUGUCAAGAAAAGUCUCUAUCGAGGUUAAAGGUACCCGUACCGCAAACCGACACAGGUGGGUGAGGAGAGUAUCCUAAGGCCAGCGAGAGAACUGUUGUUAAGGAACUCGGCAAAAUGACCCCGUAACUUAGGGAUAAGGGGUGCCACCAUCAGGUGGCCGCAGAGAAUAGGCCCAAGCGACUGUUUACCAAAAACAUAGGUUUCUGCUAAGUCGCAAGACGAUGUAUAGGAGCUGACGCCUGCCCGGUGCUGGAAGGUUAAGGGGAUCUGUUAGAGCAAUCGAAGCAGUGAACUUAAGCCCCAGUAAACGGCGGCCGUAACUAUAACGGUCCUAAGGUAGCGAAAUUCCUUGUCGGGUAAGUUCCGACCCGCACGAAAGGCGUAACGAUUUGGGCACUGUCUCAACAACAGACUCGGUGAAAUUGUAAUUCCGGUGAAGAUGCCGGAUACCUGCGACAGGACGGAAAGACCCCAUGGAGCUUUACUGUAGCUUGACAUUGGGUCUUGGUACUACAUGUACAGGAUAGGUGGGAGGCUUUGAAACCAGGACGCCAGUUUUGGCGGAGCCAUCCUUGGGAUACCACCCUUGUAGUACUGGGACUCUAACCAUAGGCCAUGAAUCUGGUCUUGGGACACUGUCAGG
rnacentral:rRNA from 1 species